GUGAUAGCUCAGUCAGUAGAGCAUGAGACUCUUAAUCUCAGGAUCGUGGGUCCGAGCCCCAGGUUGAGCCA
rnacentral:tRNA from 1 species